GAAGUGGAGCUCAGAAAGUGAUAGCACAGGUACUGGAACUUAACAGAAGUAUUUUAGCGGUCCUUAAUUAUCCUGUCCCAAGAUGAAUAAAAUUUACUUCAAAGACAGUUGUAGCAGGAAGAGGACUAAAUGUACCACACACAGCAG